rnacentral:rRNA from 1 species
GUUUGAUCAUGGCUCAGAUUGAACGCUGGCGGCAGGCUUAACACAUGCAAGUCGAGCGGGGGAAGGUAGCUUGCUACUGGACCUAGCGGCGGACGGGUGAGUAAUGCUUAGGAAUCUGCCUAUUAGUGGGGGACAACAUCUCGAAAGGGAUGCUAAUACCGCAUACGUCCUACGGGAGAAAGCAGGGGAUCUUCGGACCUUGCGCUAAUAGAUGAGCCUAAGUCGGAUUAGCUAGUUGGUGGGGUAAAGGCCUACCAAGGCGACGAUCUGUAGCGGGUCUGAGAGGAUGAUCCGCCACACUGGGACUGAGACACGGCCCAGACUCCUACGGGAGGCAGCAGUGGGGAAUAUUGGACAAUGGGGGGAACCCUGAUCCAGCCAUGCCGCGUGUGUGAAGAAGGCCUUAUGGUUGUAAAGCACUUUAAGCGAGGAGGAGGCUACUUUAGUUAAUACCUAGAGAUAGUGGACGUUACUCGCAGAAUAAGCACCGGCUAACUCUGUGCCAGCAGCCGCGGUAAUACAGAGGGUGCGA